GCGCCCGUAGCUCAGCUGGAUUAGAGCGCUGCCCUCCGGAGGCAGAGGUCGUGAGUUCGAAUCUCGCCGGGUGCGCCA
rnacentral:tRNA from 1 species